CUUUUGUUUUGUGUGUGUGUGUUUUUUUACUGAGUCUUUUCAUAACAGCAGAGCUUUGUGUUGAUGGAAGGAGGAUCAGGAAUAGAGCAGAGGACCUGCUGAUCUACUGGUUCUAGUAGAUUUUAUAAAUGGUUGGAUCUCCUCCGCCUGUAAUCCUCCGCCUUCAGCACCACCAGUCAGGUGGAGGAAGAUAAGAGAACCCAGUUGACAAAAAAAAGUAAGAAAACUUAUUUUCAUUUUAAAUAUGGAUGAAAUUGAGCUCAAAUUUCAAAAUUGUUCUUCCUUCUGUCCACCUGUAUUCUAUUUGUUAACCCUGUUGUCUUUUCUCUGGAUUUCAUUUCUACAUCAACUCAUGUCACGUGACAUGAGUUGACCAACAAUUUAAGCAGAAGACCAGCGCCGCCUGGAAUCCUCCACCUUCAACACCACCAGUCAGGUGGAGGAAGAUAAAAGAACCCAGUUGACAAAAAAAUUGACCAACAAUUAAAGCAAAAGACCUGCUCCACCUGCUGAUCUACUGGUUGUAACAGCUUGUGGGAAAGCAUCACUGGACCAAUCAGGCGAGAGAAGACAGAGAGGACUGAGGACUAAAACGAAAAUACUCUGCCUGCCAAAAAAGGCAGACGAUCCAGUGGCCCCAGGUUUACACAGCAUCUGCUGGUUUGAGGCAGACCGACCGCUGGGGAGAUGGACCUCACCUGGCACCAUUACUCUGGAUGUAACAGCUCGACUCUCCUGUCCAUUAAAACAUCAAUGACUCUGGAAGCGGACAGCGAGGUUUCUGGUGCCUGGCUGGAGACGAGAUUCUGAUUAUUCAAGAGCCAAAACAAAACGUCAGAAUAAAUAGUUAGAAGGCAGAUUUGUUUUCUAUUUGUUAUUGUUUUCAUUAUUAAUGGCCCAUAACACAAAAUUCAUCAGUGCUGUAACUCUUGAGUUGAAUAAAAUGUUCUUCUUUCAA